UAAAUUACAAAAAAUGUUAAAAGACUCACAAUGAAAAUUUUAUGAUCUAUAGAUUAAAUUUUUUGUUAUAAUAAAAUACAAAUGAUCAAAAAAUCAUAUGUGUAAAAAUAACAUUUAAUAGAUAUUCAGAUUAAUAUAUAUAUAUCCCCUAUAUAUAUUAAAAGAUAAGCAUUACAACAUUUUAGCUAUGACACGUGGCAUCACUAAAAUGCUUCUUAAAAUCUCUAGAGAAAUAUGUUGGUCAACUAAAUCUCUAAACACGUGUCAUCACAAAAAUGGUUCUUAAAAUUUCAUGAAAAGAAUAAUUUAAUUUAAAAGAUGUUUGUGUUCUUCACUUAUCCAUUGCUCUUUUGGGUUGUUAACACAUUAAUAGCUUAUUUGACCAACAAAAAACACAUUUAUAGCUUUUUUUACUGAUUUCACAAAAUUGGUGUAUUUUUCCUAUUUGCCCAGGCUUUCGACUGGGAACCAUGUAUUUGGAUAUUACUGAAUAAAAAAAUUAUGUUGACAAAAAAACAUUAAUAGUUUUCAUAAAACUGUUCAUGCAUAGAAAACAUUUACAUGGUUUUAUAUAAUACAUUAUUUGUUUCUAUAUAUAACAAUAAAGAUUUUAAAUAGCCGUUACAUAUUUGUAUAAAUAGCCGUUACAUAUUUGUAUAAAUAGCCGUUACUUGUAUAAAUAGACGUUAAUCAAUAUUUUAUUAUAUAAAGAAAAGAUUUUUUCUCAUGUGAAGCUGUCACGUCAUCAAUUUGGAUGCUCACAGCGCGGCACCUGCCCAAUUUGUAAAAACUCACCGUUUCAUUUAAUUUAAUAUCCAAUUGAUGUGGGCUUCGUUAUGAAGUUUGGACCUUAUGUUUGGAUGAAAUAUCCAGCCGGCUAGCCCGAUAGAAGUUAACCAUAAUUCUCUCUUUACGCGUCGCAUAAAAGGCUAUUCCUCAUCUCUGCUCUUUGUUCGAUCCCAUCCUCUGAACUUCUUCUUCAUCAACCCAACCGCUCCCAGUAAAUCGCUUUAAAUCCCUUCUUAAAUCCAUCAACCACGAUGUAGCCUUGAAUGCGAGCUUUUCUUCUUUGGGUCAGUAUAAAAAUAUUAGUCUUCCUCAUCUCAAAACCAUCUUCUCAAUUCCUUAUAACAAUGGAAACUUCUUUAGUAUAAGGGGUAACUCAUAUGUAUUACUUGCCGAUCGUUCUUUUUCCACCGUGGAAGUGUGUCUGUUCAGAUUUUGGGAAGCAAGAAACCUGAAACUCUGUAACGAGAUGUUGGGUGUAUACAUGCUCCUCGUCAAAGCUAAGGACAGUGGAAGUUUGAUCAUGAUUACUAAAACUUCUUUAAAGUCUACUCCAUCAAUGAUUGGCUCUUUUACUUAAAGAGUUUGACUCGGUUUCUCAUAUUUUGUCUCUGCUUUCCAAUAAACUAGACAAUGCUCUUCAGGGAGGAAUUAGGCAAUUAGCUAUGCCACCCACAUUAUCUGAGAUACUCUACUCAAAAUCAAAGAAGAAGAACAACAACAACAAGAAGAAGACGAAGAGAGUGAAGUGAAAAAGAGGAAACACGAGUCUGAUGCAGAGCUUAAAGAAGUUUCAUCAUAUGGAGAUAUGAAGAGACUAAAAGAGAGUAAAAUCAUGAACAUGGCUACAAACGUGAACUAUCAUUCUUAAAAGUCUGUUUUUUUUUCCUUUUUCUAAGUACAAAGAUUCAAUUUUUCUAGAUUAUGAUAUCAAUGGCAGUGGAAGCGAAUUUGCUUGCAA